rnacentral:miRNA from 10 species
CAAGAAUUUUAACCAACACAGA